GACGAACGCUGGCGGCGUGCUUAACACAUGCAAGUCGAACGGAAAGGCCCUGCUUGCAGGGUACUCGAGUGGCGAACGGGUGAGUAACACGUGGGUGAUCUGCCCUGCACUUCGGGAUAAGCCUGGGAAACUGGGUCUAAUACCGGACAGGAGCCAUUUUUAGUGUGAUGGUUGGAAAGUUUUUUCGGUGUAGGAUGAGCUCGCGGCCUAUCAGCUUGUUGGUGGGGUAAUGGCCUACCAAGGCGGCGACGGGUAGCCGGCCUGAGAGGGUGGACGGCCACAUUGGGACUGAGAUACGGCCCAGACUCCUACGGGAGGCAGCAGUGGGGAAGAUUGCACAAUGGGCGCAAGCCUGAUGCAGCGACGCCGCGUGGGGGAUGACGGCCUUCGGGUUGUAAACUCCUUUCGCUAGGGACGAAGCUUUUUGUGACGGUACCUAGAUAAGAAGCACCGGCUAACUACGUG
rnacentral:rRNA from 1 species